UACGUAGGGUGCGAGCGUUAAUCGGAAUUACUGGGCGUAAAGUGUGCGCAGGCGGCCGCCGCAAGUCGAGUGUGAAAGCCCCGAGCUUAACUUGGGAAUUGCGCUCGAAACUACGUGGCUGGAGUGUGGCAGAGGAAGGUGGAAUUCCACGUGUAGCGGUGAAAUGCGUAGAGAUGUGGAGGAACACCGAUGGCGAAGGCAGCCUUCUGGGCCAACACUGACGCUCAUGCACGAAAGCGUGGGGAGCAAACAGG
rnacentral:rRNA from 1 species